CCUACGGGAGGCUGCAGUAAGGAAUAUUGGUCAAUGGGCGGAAGCCUGAACCAGCCAUGCCGCGUGCAGGAAGACGGCCUACGGGUUGUAAACUGCUUUUGCAGGGGAAUAUGUACUCUGAGAAUAAGGAUCGGCUAACUCCGUGCCAGCAGCCGCGGUAAUACGGAGGAUCCGAGCGUUAUCCGGAUUUAUUGGGUUUAAAGGGUGCGUAGGCGGCCUAUUAAGUCAGGGGUGAAAGACGGUAGCUUAACUAUCGCAGUGCCUUUGAUACUGAUAGGCUUGAAUGUAGUUGAGGUAGGCGGAAUGUGACAAGUAGCGGUGAAAUGCAUAGAUAUGUCACAGAACACCAAUUGCGAAGGCAGCUUACUAAGUUGAUUGACGCUGAGGCACGAAAGCGUGGGGAUCAAACAGGAUUAGAUACCCUUGUAGUC
rnacentral:rRNA from 1 species